rnacentral:rRNA from 1 species
CUACUCCUACGGGAGGCAGCAGUAGGGAAUCUUCCACAAUGGACGCAAGUCUGAUGGAGCAACCCCGCGCGAGUGAAGAAGGGUUUCGGGUCGUAAAACUCUCCGUUGGAGAAGAAAGGUCGUCAGAGUAACUGUUGUCGGCGUGACGGUAUCCAACC